UACGUAGGGACCAAGCGUUGUUCGGAUUUACUAGGCGUAAAGGGCGCGUAGGCGGGCGACCAAGUCAGGGGUGAAAUCGUUCGGCCCAACCGGACAAGGGCCCCUGAUACUGGUUGUCUCGAGGGAGGUAGGGGUCGAUGGAACUUCCGGUGGAGCGGUGAAAUGCGUAGAUAUCGGAAGGAACGCCGGUGGCGAAAGCGAUCGACUGGACCUCUUCUGACGCUGAGGCGCGAAAGCCAGGGGAGCAAACGGG
rnacentral:rRNA from 1 species